rnacentral:rRNA from 1 species
UACGGGAGGGUGCGAGCGUUAUCCGGAAUUACUGGGUUUAAAGGGUGCGUAGGCGGCCAGGUAAGUCAGGAGUGAAAGUUUGCGGCUCAACCGUAAAAUUGCUUUUGAUACUGCCAGGCUAGAAUUAGGAUGAGGUCAGCGGAAUGUGGCAUGGUAGCGGUGGAAAAUGCAUUAGAUAUGCCAUAGAACACCAAUUGCGAAGGCAGCUGGCUAGACCUGGAUUGACGCUGAGGCACGAAAGCGUGGGGAGCGAACAGG